rnacentral:rRNA from 1 species
UACCAGCACCCCGAGUGGUCGGGACGUUUAUUGGGCCUAAAGCAUCCGUAGCCGGUUCUACAAGUCUUCCGUUAAAUCCAACUGCUUAACAGGUGGGCUGCGGAAGAUACUAUAGAGCCAGGAGGCGGGAGAGGCAAGCGGUACUCGAUGGGUAGGGGUAAAAUCCGUUGAUCCAUUGAAGACCACCAGUGGCGAAGGCGGCUUGCCAGAACGCGCUCGACGGUGAGGGAUGAAAGCUGGGGGAGCAAACCGG